rnacentral:rRNA from 1 species
GUAGGUGGCAAGCGUUGUCCGGAAUUAUUGGGCGUAAAGCGCGCGCAGGCGGUUCUUUAAGUCUGAUGUGAAAGCCCACGGCUCAACCGUGGAGGGUCAUUGGAAACUGGAGAACUUGAGUACAGAAGAGGAAAGCGGAAUUCCACGUGUAGCGGUGAAAUGCGUAGAGAUGUGGAGGAACACCAGUGGCGAAGGCGGCUUUCUGGUCUGUAACUGACGCUGAGGCGCGAAAGCGUGGGGAGCAAACAGGAUUAGAUACCCUGGUAGUCCACGCCGUAAACGAUGAGUGCUAAGUGUUAGGGGGGUUUUCCCGCCCCCCUUAGUGCUGCAGCUAACGCAUUAAGCACUCCGCCUGGGAGUACGGCCGCAGGCUG